rnacentral:lncRNA from 1 species
AAAGAAGACAAAUUCUCUCCUAUUUAGAGAUGAAACAACUAUAAUCACCUAUAUUUGCAUCAAAAGCUACAUAUGGGAGCUAAGCCUCUGUCGAGAUUUAAGCCUCGCAAUCAAACACCGAGGUUUCCAAAAAAAGCUACCUGGGAGCUAAGUCUCUGUCGAGACGUAUGAAGAUUUAUUUUUUACUUAUAUAUUUCAGUUUUAGUUAUUGCUUCCGUCAAAUGCUUCGGGGAAGCGAUCAACCACCUAAAAUUAUCUUAAAAAAUAAAAUAACAAAUAGAAAUGUCUAAUGGGCUAUGUUUCCAUUUUUAAGAAAUAUAGAGCCAUGAGGUAUCCAUUUAAUACAUUUCCUGUUUCACUCAUAAUGAGCUACAGAGAUGAAACAUACUGAUCUAGUGGGAUUUAGGAGUGAGUAAGUGAUGUGAGUGCCAACGAUAUGAACAUGCACAUUGGACAAAACGAUGCUCUGUUAUUUCUAUUGCUCUCCUGAAGUAUUACUUGUCUCUAGUGAGAUGUGUUGGCCGCCAUCUUGUACAUCCCUAUAAAUAAGAUUUGAGGUAUCUUUGUAGUGAUGCCAUCUCGAUAUCCUCUCGGAAAAGCUGAAGAAGACCAUCAGAUUUAGGGACAUUAGUCAAAAAUAAAAGGAACAGGAUGGGAGGUAUCGACAAAGAGAAAGACAAUAUUUUGAAAGUAAGGGUUGUGACUCACAUUGCACGGACGAACGCAUGUAAUCUGAUUUUCCAAGCAGGGGACCGAUCCCAGCCAUAUGUUGUUCCAUCAAAAAAAUCUGACCAGAUGAGCUAGCAGAUACGUACCAACAUUGGAAAUCAAUUUCUUCGGCUGCCAACACAGAUGUGAGAGACGCGAUUGAUUCUUCACAUAGUUGUUAUUGUAUUGGACCUAUGAACAGCGACGAAUCCUUCCGAAGUGAUCUAUUUGUUCGGCGUGAUGCACGGAACCUCCUGAACGUAGGCAUACAACUCCGGAUCGAUGAUGCACUUGAUUCAUCUUUGUUGCUGGAAACAAAACACAAGUGACCAUGAUGUGUUUAAAUUUAACAAAUAAAUCACAUUAGAGUGGGAGAGAGAAGAAGCGGAUGAGAUGCGCUGCCAGUUUUGAUAGAGUCGACGGCGGCGUGUAACAUAAAGAACAAAGAGAGAGGUCAUGGAGAGCAAAUCUCAGACCUGAGAUACCGGCCGGGGGAACACAUGUGAGAUAGCUGCGACGUAGGAUGCGCUAGAGCAGUUUUUCUUUUUUGGACUCUCUAUAUAUGCUAGGGCAGUUGCCGCAG